rnacentral:RNase_P_RNA from 1 species
UAAGGUAGUUGAGUCACUGCAGGUAUUGGUAAUACAAUGCUUGAGGAAAGUCCGGACUCCAAAAGGCAAGAUGCCGGAUAACGUCCGGCGAGGGUGACCUUAGGGAAAGUGCCACAGAAAAUAUACCGCAUAAAGGUGCUUAGGUGUUUUUUAUGUAAGGGUGAAAAGGCGAGGUAAGAGCUCACCGCUAAAUUGGUAACAAUUUAGGCAGGGUAAACCCCAUCUGGAGCAAGACCAAAUAUAAACAGUUUUUAAGGCGUGAGCCUUAAAAUCCUUUGUCUUUAGGAUAUACUGUUUGGGUAGGUUGCAUGAGCUUGUGAGUAAUUACAAGCCAAGAUGAAUAGUGACUGCUGAUUUUUUCAGUACAGAAUCCGGCUUAUAGACUACCUUAAAUU